rnacentral:rRNA from 1 species
UCGCCUGUUUUAUCAAAAACAUAGCUCCUYGUAUAUAUGAGGGGUCCUGCCUGCCCAGUGGAUUUUUUUCUAAACGGCCGCGGUACUUUGACCGUGCAAAGGUAGCAUAAUCAUUUGUUUCUUAAAUAGGGACUUGUAUGAAUGGCAAUACAUUCUUUAACUGUCUCCCUUUUUAUACUUUUAAACUUCUAUUCAUGUGAAGAAGCAUGAAUAAUAAAGAUAGACGAGAAGACCCUGUCGAGCUUCAAUCUAUAUUAAAAAAUAAUAUUUUCUUAUAGAAAAAAAUAAAUUUAAUUUAGAUUUUGGUUGGGGCAACCAUGGAGGAAAAAAAGCCUCCAGUUUUAUAAAAAGAUUCCUAAUCAUUUAAAAUUUUCUAAAGAACCAAAAUUUUUGGUAAUCGGAAAUAGUUACCGCAGGGAUAACAGCGUUAUCUUCUUUAAGAGUUCAUAUUGACGAGAAGGUUUGCGACCUCGAUGUUGGAUUGGGGUAACCAAAAGGUGCAGCAGCUUUUUAAGGUUGGACUGUUCGUCCAUUAAAACCCUACGUGAUCU